ensembl:miRNA
AGCAUUGGGUUGGCCAUAGGUUCUUUAAAUGAACCUUUUGGCCAACUCAAUACAUU